AAUUCUGUGACUCACCUAAAGGCAUUCUGUUAGAGUAAAGGCUGGAACUUAGGUACACCUGUUUGGGCAGGCAGCAGAUGGCACACUCAGAGGGUUAAGUAAAACAUCUAGCGACAGAAUGCAACCCUCUGAGGUCAGUUCCCAGGAGGCAGAGCACAGCAGGGUGGUGUGGAGUGUGUCUGGACGGGCACACAAACAUCUAGCGACAGAAUGCAACCCUCUGAGGCCAGUUCCCAGGAUGCAGAGCUCAGCAGGGCGGGGUAGAGUGUGUCUAGACGGGCACACAAACAUCUAGCAACAGAAUGCAACCGUCUGAGGCCAGUUCCCAGGAUGCAGAGCACAGCAGGGCGGUGCAGAGUGUGUCUGGACGGGCACACAAACAUCUAGCAACAGAAUGCAACCCUCUGAGGCCAGUUCCCAGGAUGCAGAGUUCAGCAUGAAACAUUCAAGUUCCCAACAGAAGAGAAAUACAAAGUUCUCCUAGCAGCAGUAGUUUUGAAUGAUGAUUUCAAUUCAGUUACACUCCCACUGGGACCCUCUAUAGAAAUGCAAGCCACCAUCUUCUAAAAUUCUUACUAAGUCCUGAAACAGACACACCCCCUCUCUGCUAAUACACAUUGAGGGAACCUAUUUUUCUGUAUGGGAUGGGAACUCAUCAACAAAAUCUGCUUUUUAUUUCACUUGUUAUAAACCCUGAGAGCAACAUCUCCCAUGUUUGGUGAACUUUCAGAAAUUGAUCCUUAAUUUAGAUAAAUAAAAUCAUUGCUUUUUCUGUAUUCUGUAAAAUUCAAAUUAAAACCCAGGCUGAUGUAGCCAAAUGUUUUUGCUUUGCCUAGUUUAAAAGUUCCAAUGAGAAAACAAUGGUUUAAGGAGAGAACAGUAUCUAUUUUGCUUUUUAAAGCUGUAAUAAACAUUGAUAUUCUGUUAAUGUAAUCAAUUUUUUUAACUUUUGUAUUGAAACAAUAGAUUUACCUUUUACCAUGUUAAGUUGAUGACAUCUGUACAAAAAUAUAAAUUUUUCCUUUGAGAAAAUGGAAAUGC
rnacentral:lncRNA from 1 species